GGCCCAUUAACUCAGCGGUAAGAGUACUCCCCUGUCUAGGGAGAAGUCUGGGGUUCGAAUCCCCAAUGGGUCG
rnacentral:tRNA from 1 species